CCGCCAUUGGCCAAUGAAGUUUGAGCUAUUAUUAGACAAGGUUAACGGAGGUCAAUCAGAACGAAACUUGGUAGGCAUGUUCGACUCAUGGCCCUAAAGGUCUGUAAGAAUUUUGAAAGAAAUCGGCCACUAGUUGGCGCUAACGAGUUUUUUGGCUCUGUAAUCACGUGGUGUUUCACAUAUGCAUGCAAUAUGGAUAUCAUUUGAUAGAUCUCCUCAUAAUGCACAACUUUGCCUCAAGAACCAUUACUGUCAGUCAAAUCGUUCAUGAAUUAUUCACAAAUAUGUUAAAAACAUACUUUUGCGAACUAGUCCUAGGUUUUUCGCCCGAUCGGAACCAAACCACUGCUGUAAUAUUCUGUGGACACUCUAGAUCAAUAAUUAUCGAAAAAAUGUUGAAUUUUGUUCUUUGGUUAGCUUUAAAGGGGUAAUUUAGAAAUGGGGAUUGGCCAAACAUACCCCAAAGCCUAUAAAGCCAAAACAAAUAGUCAAAACUUUAUGAAACUUGGUGAAAACAUGUGGCAGAUGACUCUGAACAAGCAUGCAAAGAUUCAUGGAGAUCGGACCAUAGGUGGCGCUAUAACAGUACAAAAGGUCUCAAAAACACAAAUUUUAUAUGGUAAAUGGCCUCAAAUUGAUUGAAAAUGCUCAUUUAUUCGCACAAACACUAGAUCUUCAUAUCGUAUGAUAGAUAUCCUCAUUCUGAACAACUUUGCCUCUGGGACCAAUGUUGUCAAUAAAACUGUUAAUUAAAUAUUAUAUAAAAUAAAUGAAAUAAGCUAAUUAACAAACUAGUUCAAGGUUUUAAGCUGAAAAUCAAUAAAACCACUUCAGUAGAAUUCUCUAGCUUAUCUAGGUCAAUAUUUAUCAAAAAAAUGUUGAACAUUUGCAUUUGGACAACUAUAAACUGGUCAUUUUCUGAUAUGUUCUUUACGUAGUGUAACCAAAGGCCUACUAAUACAAACAGAAAGCCCACAAAUUCUCAAGACUGUGUAAAAUAAUGCAUAAUUUCAUUCUAAACAAGCAUGCAAAAUUUAAGAGAGAUUG
ensembl:lncRNA